rnacentral:rRNA from 1 species
CUCGUAGGCGGUUCGUCGCGUCCGGUGUGAAAGUCCAUCGCUUAACGGUGGAUCCGCGCCGGGUACGGGCGGGCUUGAGUGCGGUAGGGGAGACUGGAAUUCCCGGUGUAACGGUGGAAUGUGUAGAUAUCGGGAAGAACACCAAUGGCGAAGGCAGGUCUCCGGGCCGUCACUGACGCUGAGGAGCGAAAGCGUGGGGAGCGAACA